rnacentral:rRNA from 1 species
UACGUAGGGUGCGAGCGUUAAUCGGAAUUACUGGGCGUAAAGCGUGCGCAGGCGGUUGGUUAAGUCUGAUGUGAAAUCCCCGGGCUCAACCUGGGAACUGCAUUUGUGACUGCACGGCUGGAGUGCGGCAGAGGGGGGAUGGAAUUCCGCGUGUAGCAGUGAAAUGCGUAGAUAUGCGGAGGAACACCGAUGGCGAAGGCAAUCCCCUGGGCCUGCACUGACGCUCAUGCACGAAAGCGUGGGGAGCAAACAGG